CUACGGGAUGCUGCAGUGAGGAAUACUGCACAAUGGGGGGAACCCUGAUGCAGCAACGCCGCGUGGAGGAUGACGCAUUUCGGUGUGUAAACUCCUUUUAUAUGUCAAGAAAAUGACGGUAGCAUAUGAAUAAGCACCGGCUAACUCCGUGCCAGCAGCCGCGGUAAUACGGAGGGUGCAAGCGUUACUCGGAAUCACUGGGCGUAAAGGACGCGUAGGCGGGUUGGAAAGUCAGGUGUGAAAUCCUACAGCUUAACUGUAGAACUGCACUUGAAACUUCUAAUCUAGAGUAUGGGAGGGGGAGAUGGAAUUAGUGGUGUAGGGGUAAAAUCCGUAGAUAUCACUAGGAAUACCUAAAGCGAAGGCGAUCUCCUGGAACAUUGCUGACGCUAAGGCGUGAAAGCGUGGGGAGCAAACAGGAUUAGAUACCCGUGUAGUC
rnacentral:rRNA from 1 species